UGGGGAAUUUUGGACAAUGGGCGAAAGCCUGAUCCAGCAAUGCCGCGUGUGUGAAGAAGGCCUUCGGGUUGUAAAGCACUUUUGUCCGGAAAGAAAUCCUUGGCUCUAAUACAGUCGGGGGAUGACGGUACCGGAAGAAUAAGCACCGGCUAACUACGUGCCAGCAGCCGCGGUAAUACGUAGGGUGCAAGCGUUAAUCGGAAUUACUGGGCGUAAAGCGUGCGCAGGCGGUUUGCUAAGACCGAUGUGAAAUCCCCGGGCUCAACCUGGGAACUGCAUUGGUGACUGGCAGGCUAGAGUAUGGCAGAGGGGGGUAGAAUUCCACGUGUAGCAGUGAAAUGCGUAGAGAUGUGGAGGAAUACCGAUGGCGAAGGCAGCCCCCUGGGCCAAUACUGACGCUCAUGCACGAAAAGCGUGGGGAGCAAACAGGAUUAGAUACCCUGGUAGUCCACGCCCUAAACGAUGUCAACUAGUUGUUGGGGAUUCAUUUCCUUAGUAACGUAGCUAACGCGUGAAGUUGACCGCCUGGGGAGUACGGUCGCAAGAUUAAAACUCAAAUGAAUUGAC
rnacentral:rRNA from 1 species